GUGUGCAUGUGUGUAUAUACGAUCGAUCAGGGAGAGAGGGUGAGGUGAAACCUUAGUUUCACCAAAAUCCAUCAAAUUGAAGGGGGAUUGAAGGGCUAAACUAAUGCAUGAACCAAGAUUUUCGAUCACUUUAGCGUUUCUACCAUCAUGAACGUGUCAAGGAGAGGUCAAGCAUAGGAGGAUAACGGGUCAAGAUAAGGCAAGGUGACAAAUACACUUAUUGGAGUACUCGAGGUAAGUGAAUUUCGAUUCACUUUUUAGUAGGUUUAAUAGAUUUUAAUACUUAUGUUUACGAAACAUCAUGAAAGAACAUGUAAUAAUCAGAAGUACAAAGCCAAUAAUGCCUCAUUAUUGAAGAAGGUUGUAUUUAAGCCGAAAGUAAAUUGGUGGGUUUAAAUGGGUCGAAUUUUAUGUGCAUAUGUUGCGUAAUGUAAUGAAAUUCGUUAUGGUUAAGACCUUGGGUAAGAAUUUUUAGUCAUUAUGUAAGGGGAACAUUUCCCGGACCAUUAGGAACAAGUUUUAUAUGAUUCGGUUGUCGGUUAGUGAAUGAACGGAUUGUUUCGUGUUAGUGUAGGAAAUUUUAUAAGUAUAUGUGUAUAGGAAUCCAAAGGGCACGUGGGUUGAAUCAUAGAUUGUCUAUACUAUGUAAAGUUGUGAAUGUGACAUUCCGGCAUAAACCUACAUGUAAAAGAAGCUUGUGUAUAUAUUCGUGAUUAAUUGAUUGUGCAUAGGAAGGAACAUUGGCAUGUAUGAAGGUACGCAUGUAUAUAUAUAAGUGUGUAUAUAUAUAUAUAUAUAUAUGUGUGUAUGUAUGUAUGAUAAUAAGUACGUAGGUGUGAAUGUAUGUGUGAAUGAAUGUUCAAUGCUUAAGACAUAUGCAUGAACGUUAUCAAAGUGUUCGAGUAUUUAUGUUUAGUAAUGAUGUGCGUUGAGUUGGAAUGUAAUGUAGGUAUGGGAUCGUUGGCUUCAUGAAGAAAUGGAGCUGGAUUUGGAUAAGAGUAUUUAAGAAAGCGCUUGGACAAUUCCACGACUACUUUAUAGAAUGCUCUACGAAAUUCUAUUAUAUAGUUUAAUGUUGUAUGGUAUGUUAAUGACUAAUGGUUUGGUUGUACGUGGUGUCCACAGGUAUCGCUUGGGUUUUCUCUACAUUUAUUGAAGUGAAGCGGACUUAGUUCGAGUUGAGAGCAAGGAUUGUACGGGGUAGAAUGGUCACAUAGUGUAACUCAUAUAGGUUUUGAAGUAUUAAUGUUAUAAAACGUUAUAAAUCCGUUUUAAUGAAUAUAUGGCAUUUCGCAUUUGAACCUUCAUGUGUUUGAUAUGUCUAUUAAAGAACGAAAUUUUUGGGC